rnacentral:rRNA from 1 species
GAUGAACGCCGGCGGUGUGCCUAAUACAUGCAAGUCGUACGCACUGGCCCAACUGAUUGAUGGUGCUUGCACCUGAUUGACGAUGGAUCACCAGUGAGUGGCGGACGGGUGAGUAACACGUAGGUAACCUGCCCCGGAGCGGGGGAUAACAUUUGGAAACAGAUGCUAAUACCGCAUAACAACAAAAGCCACAUGGCUUUUCUUUGAAAGAUGGCUUUGGCUAUCACUCUGGGAUGGACCUGCGGUGCAUUAGCUAGUUGGUAAGGUAACGGCUUACCAAGGCGAUGAUGCAUAGCCGAGUUGAGAGACUGAUCGGCCACAAUGGAACUGAGACACGGUCCAUACUCCUACGGGAGGCAGCAGUAGGGAAUCUUCCACAAUGGGCGCAAGCCUGAUGGAGCAACACCGCGUGAGUGAAGAAGGGUUUCGGCUCGUAAAGCUCUGUUGUUGGAGAAGAACGUGCGUGAGAGUAACUGUUCACGCAGUGACGGUAUCCAACCAGAAAGUCACGGCUAACUACGUGCCAGCAGCCGCGGUAAUACGUAGGUGGCAAGCGUUAUCCGGAUUUAUUGGGCGUAAAGCGAGCGCAGGCGGUUGCUUAGGUCUGAUGUGAAAGCCUUCGGCUUAACCGAAGAAGUGCAUCGGA